CUCCAGCUUCUGCCCUUGGCUGCGAACCAUGGAGUCCCGGCUCCCAGGCCUAUCCCCGGGAUGAUGCACUAGACAUUUUUGUGGCAGGGUGCAGAACAAUGGAUUCCCCCUGAUGCUUGCUUUAAGCAUGAAUUUUUGUUUUGCAAAUGCAAUCCUGGGAAGGAAGGGAGUCCACCAAUUAGUGGGAACAGCUCUUACUGACUAAUGGAUGGUUAACUUUACAAGUGGAAUGAUUUUUACAAAUGAGCUACAAUAUGACUUUUUAAGAUUCCUUCAACAUCAGGAUUCCCGAUCAUCUCAUCAACCGACUUGUUAAGAAAACUGAGGCCCAGGGAAGUGGCUCACAAUUGUGUAGAAUUGUGAGGUGUCUUGACUGCUGGGCCAGGACUGAAGGACGUACGCCCUCUCCCGGAAUCGUCUCAGCUACAGAGAACCACCUUGCCCAAGGUCACCACCCUCUUGCCAAGGGGGUCACUUGGAUCUAAUGAUUGGUUAAUGCUGGGGGGAGGGGGUAAGUCUUGGCCCCCAGCCUCAACAGUGAUGGCGGUGGCUCCGGGGUCAUCCUAGCUUCCGAGUUUCGUCUAGGUUGAGGGCGCCAUGUUGGGACUGCAUCAGCUUCUCUCUCUGCCUGGUUCUGCUUCCUUUACUUUACCAUUUGUUGUUAGUCCAGGGCACACCCCAGUAAACUUCCUGCAUGCGAGUUCAUCUUAGACUGCUUCCCAGGGAAUCGUAUGUACAACACUCGGGAGUAGAGAGUCACUGAAACGGCCCUAGCUCUGAGAGACCCCUCCUGACCAGCCAUCACCCCUCCCGCUCUUCCUUACUCUGAUUUAUUGUCUUCGUAGAAUUUAACUCUCAGGUCUAUGGCCAUACUGCCCUGAAUGCGCCUGAUCUUGUCUGAUUUCAGAAGCUAAGCAGGGUCGUGCCCGGUUAGUACUUGGAUGGGAGAAUUUAGUGCUCGAACACUAUUGCUGUAGCUUUCUUUAAUAAAUAAAUUUGACUGCCUUUCCUGCUAGACUGUAAGCUCUGUGCAUGCAGGGACAUAGUCUCUCUUGUUCUGCAGAGCCAAGAGCAGGGCCUGGUACCUGACAGGCACUCGGACAACACGUACUGAACAAGUGAAUGAACUUCCAGGCAGGAAGAGUCACACAUCCUCACCAACAACUCCUAGGGUUUCAGAGAACUAGAAAGUCUAGGAAUACAGAGGGUGCUUUCAAAAGUGUUGUCUGUAAUUGGAAAUGCCUUAUGUUUGUUUAGUGCUUUAGUUUUAUUCAUUUUUUUUUAAAGCAGUUCAUUCAAUAUUGAUAGCAACCCAUAUUAUCAUAAACCCCCAUGUGGUGGGCAAGAUAGAGGGUUGCUUUGAAGCACUGGGAGAAGAGAAACCGGCCUUGGUGAGUUGAGUCUCUUGCUCAGCCAGGCCCACAUGGAAAUGCUGGUAUCCUGCCUCCUGGACCCAUGGUCCUGUCUCUGUAUCAUCAGCAGAAGCAAACUCAAGUCAGUUGCCACUGAAACUCACCGAGUCUGACUUUCCCCCAUGAAUACUCAUAUGGGGGCCAUUUUAUUGGAGAGGAUUUCAUAUUCACCACCCUGUACGGAAUUCUAAGUGCUAGCUCAGUGCUUUCAGGUGAUUACCAUUCUUUUUUUUUUUUUUUUUGAGAUGGAGUCUUGCUGUUGCCCAGGCUGGAGUGCAGUGGCGUGAUCUCGGCUCCCUGCAACUUCUGCCUCCUGGGUUCAAGCAAUUCUCCUGUCUCAGCCUCUUGAGUGGCUGGGAUUACAGGCGUAUAUCACCACGCCCAGCUAAUUUUUGUAUUUUUUAGUAGAGACGGGGUUUUAUCACGUUGGCCAGGCUGGCCUCGAACUCCUGACCUCAAGUGAUCCGCCCGUCUCAGCCUCCCAAAGUGCUGGGAUUACAGGUGUGAGCCACCGUGCCCAGCCGAUGACCACUCUUUAGAGUUUGGGAUUAUUCUUCCAAAUGGAGAUGAUUCAGCCAUGUCUGAUAUUGGUGAUUUGAGAAGGAGGAUGUCUAGGAUUGAUGCUUUGAGAAGACGAUCUCAAUUUUCUUAGAAUAUGAUUCCUUUUGUCCUUGGAGAGUUAUUUUUAAGUAGCAGAUUCUGGGAACUCCCCAUGCCCUCCACCUCCUACUCCCAAAUUCCGCCCCCGCCCGCCCCCGCGGCCAAGUAGGCCUGGUCUCUAGACGCAUGGAAAGCGUUCAGGUCCACUCAGACUGUGCUGCGAUCUGAAAGAAUGAUAACAUACGAGAAGGCCCUUUGGUCCUACACUGUGAAUGAGUAAGGGGCAGCUGCAAAAUGCUAAGAAUGCUGAGUGCAUUAAGUGAAGUGUUUCUCCCAGGUGUGCACAGGGUGUGGCUUCCAAGGGGAAUGUGGAUGCUGGAAUGAGGGAGGCAGCCACCUAGGCCGGUCAAGUCAGAGGCCCAGCAAGGAGAAAGCGAGCCAAGGCAAACGCCGACAGAAGAGAACGAUAAAUCCGCGGCGCACUCGGCAGAACGUACACCGCACCGCAUAAUUUAGCGGGGCAAUGCCGCCGGGAGUCCACGCCAAGUUAAUGGAAUAUUUCCUGUAAAUAUUAUUUUCCCUUCCUGUCUCAUCAUCUCAUUUCAUUCAAAAAUCUUUACUAAUCCGGGGGAGUGAAAGUAAUGCAUCAAUUUCCAGAGCCAAUGCCCCUGCUUCCGAAAUACCCUUAGGAAUCACUGGAAGCCACCGCGGCUGCUUAGGGACAGGGGGGCAGGCCGUUUACUCUGGUUCCUUCUCCUAAUGCCUCAGAGGGGACCCCAUAGUGCUCCUAAUUGUGCAUCUAAGUGUACAUAAAAGCCCCCCUAAUUGCACAUCAAAUAAAUAAGUAAAUGCUGUCUGCUGAAUAUGUAACAAGGACUGAUGUUGCUAUUUCUUCCCAGGGGGGAGAUUUCAUUAAAUCUGGGCUGCAUUUCUAAGUGAUGAUUUACAGAUAUUGAAUAUUCUUUACAAGGGAGGCUUUUUUGGAGUUAUGUGCUUCACAAUAUUUGCUCUAAUGCUUAAAGCCUCAGAUACAGCCUGCUGGAGGUCUCUUUAUUCUAACUCUUAGUGUCCUUUUGGAAAGUCUUUUCUGCUUUAAUGUGUAAUGGCUUCCGAUGAUCAGAUGGCUGGUUUGUCUGCAGGUCUGGGGACUGUGCAACCCCCUGGUCUCCCAAUGCCUCAGUUACUGACGCUGCAAACAAGGCAGAUUGUCCCAGAGAUUAGAGCUCUCAGGCUUUCUCGGGCUUCAAUCAAUCAAAGGAACGUAAGGACCCCUCCCCUACAGAGAGAGCCGGACGUGAGCCAGAUUUUGUCCAGACUUACUUAUAUCUGCCCUGUGGGAUCCCGAUUCUGCAAGAUUUAAUAAACAAUGCCUCAACAGA